CCAAUAGCGGAUAUUAAAGUUGUUGCAGUUAAAAAGCUCGUAGUUGAAUUUCGGGAUCAAUAUAUCGGUCGUGCCAUCGGUACGUACUGGUAUCAUUGGUUUCUCCUUUCUGACGAACCAUGAUGUCAUUAAUUUGGUGUUAUGGGAAGUUAGGACUGUUACUUUGAAAAAAUUAGAGUGUUUAAAGCAGGCUUUAGCUUGAAUACAUUAGCAUGGAAUAAUGAAAUAGGACGUUCGAACCUAUUUUGUUGGUUUCUAGGAUCAACGUAAUGAUUAAUAGGGAUAGUUGGGGGCAUUAGUAUUCAAUUGUCAGAGGUGAAAUUCUUGGAUUUAUUGAAGACUAACUACUGCGAAAGCAUUUGCCAAGGAUGUUUUCAUUAAUCAAGAACGAAAGUUAGGGGAUCGAAGACGAUCAGAUACCGUCGUAGUCUUAACCAUAAACUAUGCCGACUAGGGAUCGGAUGAUGUUAAUUUUUUAAUGACUCAUUCGGCGCCUUACG
rnacentral:misc_RNA from 1 species